rnacentral:rRNA from 1 species
CCAAUAGCGUAUAUUAAAGUUGUUGCAGUUAAAAAGCUCGUAGUUGAAUUUCGGGGUUUGUCCAUCGGUCGGGCUUUAUUGUCCGUACUGGUGUGAUGAAUUCCUACCUUCUGAAUAACCUUCAUGUCAUUUAUUUGGUGUGUUGGGGAAGCAGAGCUGUUACCUUGAAAAAAUUAGAGUGCUUAAAGCAGGCAAGUGCCUGAAUACAUUAGCAUGGAAUAAUGAAAUAGGACGGAAUGGUUCUAUUUUGUUGGUUUCUAGGAUCACCGUAAUGAUUAAUAGGGAUAGUUGGGGGCAUUAGUAUUCAAUUGUCAGAGGUGAAAUUCUUGGAUUUAUUGAAGACUAACUUCUGCGAAAGCAUUUGCCAAGGAUGUUUUCAUUAAUCAAGAACGAAAGUUAGGGGAUCGAAGACGAUCAGAUACCGUCGUAGUCUUAACCAUAAACUAUGCCGACUAGGGAUCGGACGAUGUUAAUUUUUUAAUGACUCGUUCGGCGCCUUACG